rnacentral:rRNA from 1 species
GACGAACGCUGGCGGCGUGCCUAACACAUGCAAGUCGAACGGGACCGCAAGGUUCAGUGGCGGACGGGUGCGUAACACGUGAGGAACAUAGCCAACGGCGGGGGAUAGCCGGCCCAACGGCCGGGUAAUACCGCGUACGACCUUUGGGGGGCAUCCCCUGGGGGUGAAAGCAGCAAUGCGCCGAUGGGGUGCCUCGCGGCCUAUCAGCUAGUUGGUGAGGUAACGGCUCACCAAGGCUACGACGGGUAGCUGGUCCGAGAGGAUGACCAGCCACAUUGGGACUGAGACACGGCCCAGACUCCUAUGGGAGGCAGCAGUGGGGAAUAUUGCGCAAUGGGCGAAAGCCUGACGCAGCGACGCCGCGUGUGGGAUGAAGUCUUCGGAUUGUAAACCACUGUCGCGAGGGACGAAGCUCUGACGGUACCUCGAAAGGAAGCACCGGCUAACUCUGUGCCAGCAGCCGC